AACGUAUAUUUCGGAAAACUUUAAAUCAAUAUUCGACAGCUGUAUACCUACAUGUAUCAUAUGUUGUAGAAAUCAUAGACAACUAAACGUGUAAGUAUAUUAUAGAGAAUCAUACCAAUUCUUCUUUUUUAUAAGUUAUAAUUUUAAAGAAAAAGGAAAUUUUAUUGUAAAGAAUCGAAUUUAUGUUUUUUUUUUUUUUUUGCUAAAUUGCUAAAUGUUCAAUAAAUAUAAAUAUAACAGCGUUUUUGUUUUAAAAUAGCACACACAAUUUAAAAUGAAUAUCAUAAAUUACUUUUAAGUAACAUGUAUUUGAAACAUGAUACAUUUUUUCAAAAUAUUGUACCGUAUGCAGUCUAUGUUAAAGAGUGCAAAUGAGACAGCUCACCGUCCAAAUCAUUAAUGUGUAAAAGCAUACCAUUAUAGUUCAAAACACGGAGCCUUGCCCCAACAACGAAUAGUAAGCUAUUAAGGGCCUUAAAAAAUUACUAUUGUAAAACCAUUCAAACAGGGAAAACCAAACGGUUUGAUAUAUAGAAAAACGAAACGAAAACAUCAGUGUAAAUAUGCAUUCAAUUGAUUUUAAAUGAUUUUUUCUGAUAGAAACACCGAAAAUGUCGAAAUUCCGGGUUUUUCUCCUACUGGUUGUGUUUUGGGUAAGUGAUCACGUAAUACUAAAUUAUAAAUAUGGUAAUGAUACUGUAAGUCAAUAUUUUCGCGAAUUUCGCGAGAAGAAAAUAACGCGAACAUAGCUCUUCAUGGACAUGCAAACUUUGAUCUUUUCUUAUUUAACAACAUGUAGUGAAUUUGAAAAUCGUGAAAUAAAUUGCCACCGAAUGGGCUACAAAUGUAGAAAGAUUUCGCGCGAAAUAAAGUAUCCGCGAAAAUAUAUCGUGGGAUUCGACCUCAUAGAAAUGGCAUGAAAGAUAUUUAUAGUUUUACCUGUAUGCUGUAUUGUUCUUCAAUUCUAUUUUUCUCUCGCCUCUUUUUUCGUCUUUUAUAUAAAUAAAAUGUAUUCCCCUUGUUUCUUCUUUUUAAAGUCUUCCUUUGUUAGCAGAUUAAAAAUGGAAUAGCUUGGUGUGUCCUCAUUUGAUUUUGAUAGUCUGAAGUCACAAUAAAAGUUUCUUCCAUAAGCAUUUACUAUGUAAAACUCUGAUAUCGACAUAAUAUUUAACUAUAUUGAGAACGGAAAUGGUGAAUUUGUCAAAGAGAAAACAAAUCCGAUUAAAGAGCAGAAAAUAGUCCAGGCGAAUACAGAACGGGUCUUCAACACAGUGAGAAAAUCCCGCACCGGCGGCGGACUUCAACUAGCCCUUACACAAAAAAUAAUGUCCUAGUUCAGUGAAAAUGGACAUUACAUAAAACUCAGACACAUAUAAAUGUACUUAAUUAAAAAAGGAAACUACAAAACUAACAAAGACCCAGAGGCUCCUGACUUUUGCAGGCGCAAAAAUGCGGCGGCCUUUAAACAUGUUUUGUGAUAUUUCAACCCUCCCCAUUACAUCUAGCCAAUGAGAAUAAACAAACACACUGUAAUACCCACAGUAAAACUCUGUUUAAAAAAGUCCGAGUCCGAUGUCAGAGUAGGGUAACAAAUGAAAUAAGUAAAAUGACAAUGAUAAAUAAAUUAAGAAAAAACUACUAGCAGUACUUGACAAGCCAGCUCCUGACUGCAAUUAAAAACUGAUUGAAAGAUUAUGUCUUCAUCAUAUAAAAUAAAGCACAAAUCCUACCUAAGGUUUAGUUUCAUAUCAUCAUAAAUAUAUGAGAAGAACAUAACCGGUAUCAUGCCAACAACUUGUCAAUAUAUAACAUGUAGUCCACGAUUUUUAUUAUAAAAAAUGUUAACACACCAACUUUUAUAAAAUUACCUUAUAAAAGCAAUAUCUGAUAUAUAAUGUGUAAUUUUUGUUUGAUUAAUUUGUAAAGUUUGAUGUGCUGAUGAUGAAAAAACUUAACAUGCUUGAUACUGAAUCAUUUUGGAGUUGUCCUCCUUUCCCCGAUAAUAUGAACUACAUUACAUGUUAUGUUUUGAAACGCACUAUUAUAACAGAUUAAGUUAUAGUUAUUGACCCAAGCACAGUCGGUAUUAUGCAUUUAUCUGCACUAGCAACGAGAUAAACCCCAAUAACCCGAACAGCGUGAGGGAGUUCGGAGUUAUUGGUCUAUCUCGCUGUGCAGAUUAAAUUUACAUAUACCGAUUUGAUUGGCCAAAACUGUUUUAACACAUGACGCAAUCAAUUACGGUGAAGCGUUUUAGAAAAUGUGGACGUUUAUCUUCAAUCCACGGGUUCCUAGGAAAGUUUCUUGUAGGGUGGGGGGAAAGAAAGGGCGAAGAUACGACUUUUGUAAUUUUAAAUUAAUCUUUUUUUAUAUGUUAGACUCAUUUCUAAAAUAGCGAUUUAAAAUGGUAUAUGUUUUUAAUCGUUUUCCGUUAAUUUUAUUCCCAAAAUGAAUUUAAUUUAAAUUGGUGACGAUUUAGACUUUGAUAAAUUGUGUACUUUCAAAUCGGUGUAUGAAAAAAAAAAAUAAAACCAUAACUGCUAAGCGGGGUUGUGAGUUUAAAUAAGAUUAAUUGCUUUUGAUUUUCUUUCCCUCAAGAUUAUGCUAAAAGAACCGAGGAAGAUGUAAACCACUCCCCUGUUAAUUACCUAAUUACUACCCCGCCCCCCCCCAUUUCUUUUAAUCUACUGUAUUACUUUUUAAGACACGUCCAUCUAAAUGAAGUCUGAUUGAUCUCCAGCUAAUCACCAAAAUUUUGACCCCCAAUUUCACGUCCACUGAACAAUAGAAACAUAUUAGUGCGCAGUGGAAUUCGUGUACUAUCAACACAUUUCUUGUUUAUUUUAAUUUGAUAGAAUAAACCCCCCUUUCAAAAUCCGCGGAACCACCCCCUAAAGUUAAAAAUAGAUUUGAACUGGUGGUAUAUCUGAGGUAGUUAAUGCACACCUUUGCUGUGGCAUUAUCUAAUUAUAACAUGUAAGAACAAAGAGAUUUUACUCUUGCCAUGUGUUAACAUACAGGUACAGACGGCAUUAUGUUGAUCAAUGAGGUCACAAUUAAGAUUUUGUAAAAUUUUACAUACGACCUUGGCUCUUGAACCAUAAUAACUGAAAAUAAAAUCCCUUUGUCUCUUUUACUUUUUGAAAUAUAAAUAAAUGCAUUGUUUCAUUGAUUAUUUGAAUAGUUUUAUAGAAUUCAAUUGUUAAUUAUUGCACUUUUUAGAUUUAAACAAGCCACAGUAUGUUUAAGCAGUUAUACAUUUUCACAGUCUACAUGUGUGGUAGAAAUCUUAUAACGGGAACACUAUUCAUGCGGUGUCCAUCCAUUACACAACAUUAGUACGUUCACAAAAAUAAACCACCCACAAAAAAGUAACGGAACAGCGCUUUUAUUGCUGUUCUCCAUCUCAAAGCUAUGCUGUGUACUAAAUAGUUAAUCAACUGUUAUUAUAAAGUUACGAAACAAACAUUGCAGGACAAAAAUAUCCCAGGCAAUUUUCUUUUUUCCUGAGCCAGAACAUAGAUGAACUAUUUGAAUCAGAAUAUCUUCACAUAAUGUAGUAACUUUACACCAACUAUUUAAAGAAUGGGCUUAAGUUGCAGCAUGAUCUGCUAACCCUUCCGGAGCAGCGGAGAUGAACUAUUUUUUUCCUCUUGCUCAGUCAAUAGUUUUUAUGUUGUGUGUUGUAUACUGUUGUUCGUCCUGUGGGCUUUUUUUUAAAUUUGUGUCGUCAGUUUUUCUUCGACUGAUGGGUUUAAAUGUCCCUUUGCAUUUCUCGCUUCCAUUUUGUAUUUAACUUCAUUUUUUAAAACAACUGUUUUUCAGCGAUAUAUAAUACAGAGGGCUGGUUGUCAUGUUCAAGGUCUUCAUGUAAAAAACGAUGUAGGGAAAAGGGUUGCUCAGUAGGUAACUGUAGAUUCUGGAGCAUAUGUAACUGUAGGGGAUGCAAAGUAGGAAGGUCAACAGAGGGUAAGCAAUUACAAAAAAUACAUACAAUGUAUUACUGUUACUUUAAUUAUUCAUCCCUUAUUUUAUUGAUUUUGUAUUUACAUUGUAUAAUCAUAGAUCAAAUGUGUUCGUUCAGUGUGUGUUUACUUCUGCAAAUAUGUGUCUUUCUAUGUUGUGAUUUUGACCCAAGUUUUUGAUGGGGUUCGUGUUGCUUUGUCUAAUCAAGUUUCCUAUUUUUAUGUGUACUAAUUUAGUCUGUUUGUCUUUUUAUUUUUGUCGAGCCUUCGACUUUUGUCGAAAAAGUGAGACAUAGCGAUCCUACAUUCCGUCGUCGUCAUUGGUGUCGUCGUCAGCGGCGGCGUCCACAAAUAUUCACUAUCUCCUGGAUUUGUACCAAACUUAGAAAGAAGCUUGAUUACAAUCAUAUUAAGAUAGUAUCCAGAAGUAAAUUUUGUUUAUAAACAAAUCCAUUUGUUCCGUAUUUUACUUAUAAAUAUAAACAUUCACUCUAUGGUUAAAGUUUUUAAAAUUUUAAUAACUUUCUUAAACAAUCCUGGAUUUGUACCAAACAAGGACAGAAACUUGUUUAUGAUCAUAAGAUAGUAUCCAGAAGUAAAGUUUAUAAAAUAAAACUCCAUUUUCCCCUUAUUUUACUUAUAAAUGACUUCGUUUUUCUGCCAGUUAACAUUACAUUCAAUCUGUGGUUAAAUUUUUAUAAAAUUUUAAUAGCUUUCUUAAUCUAUCCUGGAUUUGUACCAAACAAGGACAGAAGCUUGUUUAUGAUCAUAAGAUAGUGCCAAUGAGACAAUUCUCCACCAAAGAACAAAUGAGAUAGAAGUUAACCAAUAUAGGUGACAGCACGGUUUUUAACAAUGAGAAAAACCAUACUUCAUGGUUGUUUGUUUUAUUUGACUUAUGAUAUUCAAUUGUUCCUUGUCCUUUCGACGAUGGAAGUUUUAAACGACCUUGACUAACUAUACAACCAUUGCACCGGUCGUCAUCUUUUAUCUUUGUAUAGACUGUGGAGAUUGUUUUCAGAGAGCAACCAUUUAACAACAAGGGGAAAAGGGGGGGGGGGUCUGGGUUUAUUUCUGAGUCAGAAACAAAUUUAUUUAGUUCAUCGACGCUUUCAUUCAAAUUAUCAUCUUAAAAUUUAAUACUUAUAAGUUAUGGGAGAUUGUGGGUUUUUUUAUCUGAUCUGCUUGGCCUGGACGAUUUGUUCAUCAAAUUGGAGAUCGGAUUAUUAUUUAUAGGGAAAAAAUCAUACCGCCUCCCUAGUUGAAAUUAAAUGGUAGUUCCCAUAUUUGAUGUUAUAUGUUAGUGAUUCAAUAUUGUCAGAAAUUUCAGUUUAUUGUUUCAGUUAUCAUUGAUGAUAAACAAUUUAUCGAAUUUGGUAAACGAGAGUGAAUUAGUUUCGAAUUUUACAUCGUGUAACUUUGUGAUUAUUUUCGGUUUUUUUUUAUGUUAAAUGCGCGAAAACGUUAACAUUUUAGGUAAUCAAUAUCCUCUAGCGCACGAGAUGUUUUGUUCACUGAGAUUAAUAUUUUACGUUAAAAUAAAUGUAUGCCUGUUGGUAUAUUGUACCUAAUGGCGUCUAAGUAAGCUUUUCACCAUUUUACUGUGUUUAACUUUCAGAUAAUCUGCAUGAACUGGACGAAGACAACUAAUACAGAUAAAAACAACAAUAAAUUAUAGAACAUUGUUUUUCGAUCUUUUCUAAUUUGUAUAUAAUUAUGUGAUUUGAGUUUGU
rnacentral:lncRNA from 1 species